rnacentral:rRNA from 1 species
GGCGGACGGGUGAGUAACGCGUGAGAAUCUGCCCUCAGGAGGGGGAUAACGGCUGGAAACGGCCGCUAAUACCCCAUAUGCCGAGAGGUGAAACGAGUUUUCGCCUGAGGAUGAGCUCGCGUCUGAUUAGCUAGUUGGUGGGGUAAGAGCCUACCAAGGCAUCGAUCAGUAGCUGGUCUGAGAGGAUGAUCAGCCACACUGGGACUGAGACACGGCCCAGACUCCUACGGGAGGCAGCAGUGGGGAAUUUUCCGCAAUGGGCGAAAGCCUGACGGAGCAACGCCGCGUGAGGGAUGAAGGCCUCUGGGCUGUAAACCUCUUUUAUCAAGGAAGAAGAUCUGACGGUACUUGAUGAAUAAGCCACGGCUAAUUCCGUGCCAGCAGCCGCGGUAAUACGGGAGUGGCAAGCGUUAUCCGGAAUUAUUGGGCGUAAAGCGUCCGCAGGCGGCCUGAUAAGUCUGUUGUCAAAGCGUGGAGCUCAACUCCAUUUCGGCAAUGGAAACUGUGAGGCUUGAGUGUGGUAGGGGCAGAGGGAAUUCCCGGUGUAGCGGUGAAAUGCGUAGAUAUCGGGAAGAACACCAGUGGCGAAGGCGCUCUGCUGGGCCAUAACUGACGCUCAUGGACGAAAGCCAGGGGAGCGAAAGGGAUUAGAUACCCCUGUAGUCCUGGCCGUAAACGAUGAACACUAGGUGUCGGGGGAAUCGACCCCCUCGGUGUCGUAGCCAACGCGUUAAGUGUUCCGCCUGGGGAGUACGCACGCAAGUGUGAAACUCAAGGGAAUUGACGGGGGCCCGCACAAGCGGUGGAGUAUGUGGUUUAAUUCGAUGCAACGCGAAGAACCUUACCAGGGUUUGACAUCCUGCGAAUCCCUUGGAAACGAGGGAGUGCCUUCGGGAGCGCAGAGACAGGUGGUGCAUGGCUGUCGUCAGCUCGUGUCGUGAGAUGUUGGGUUAAGUCCCGCAACGAGCGCAACCCACGUCUUUAGUUGCCAGCAUUGAGUUGGGCACUCUAGAGAGACCGCCGGUGAUAAACCGGAGGAAGGUGUGGAUGACGUCAAGUCAUCAUGCCCCUUACAUCCUGGGCUACACACGUACUACAAUGCUACGGACAAAGGGCAGCAAACUCGCGAGAGCUAGCAAAUCCCAUAAACCGUGGCUCAGUUCAGAUCGUAGGCUGCAACUCGCCUACGUGAAGGAGGAAUCGCUAGUAAUCGCAGGUCAGCAUACUGCGGUGAAUACGUUCCCGGGCCUUGUACACACCGCCCGUCACACCAUGGAAGUUGGCCACGCCCGAAGCCGUUACUCCAACCCUUGUGGAGGAGGACGUCGAAGGUGGGGCUGAUGACUGGGGUGAAGUCGGAACAAGGUA